AACGUAGGAGGCAAGCGUUAUCCGGAGUUACUGGGCGUAAAGAGUGCGUAGGCGGAUUGAUAAGUGGGUGGUGAAAGCGCCCGGCUAAACCGGGCGAGGUCCAUUCAGACUGUCAGUCUAGAGGCGGAUAGAGGGGUGCGGAAUUCCAGGUGUAGCGGUGAAAUGCGUAGAUAUCUGGAGGAACACCGGUGGCGAAGGCGGCAUCCUGGACCGAUAUUGACGCUGAUGCGCGAAAGCCAGGGGAGCAAACGGG
rnacentral:rRNA from 1 species